GCCAGCCAGUGGCCGAAACUCAGCAUGUCUUCUCAUUCCAACUCUCUCGUGAAGGGAUUAUAACUUUGAGUUUGUUCGACCACCUCAAUGGGAUGGACUUUCAUGUACAGUUUGGGGUAAGAGUUGAGUUCCAUUUUUUCUUUACAGGUGACCAGUUGUCCUGGGAUCAUUUAUCUCAUCAACUUUUCCUUUAAUGUCAGAAUAUUUCUGCUGCAUCAGUUGCCUCCUUGGGCCAAAUAUUAGGUACAAUUUAUGCUAACCCAGUUUAUUUCUACUGAAAGAAGAUCUUUGCUUAUCAUGUCUGUCCUUUCCUCCCUAAGAGACAAACUAACAGGUAAAACCUGCCUACUUGAAGAAGUUGAGGUUCUCAACAGAUGACUGAGUGCAGUGCUAGGGACAGUCUCAUGAGCUAGUUGAUAAAAACAGACAUUUUUCAUCUCUUCCCUAUAACACCAAAAUUCUUCUAAGGAAAAUAUCAAUCUGGUUAACUGCUAACUUUACCUGCUCCCAGGACUGCUAACUUCAACACAACCUCUAAUUCCUCAACUACUGUAACUAUAGAUAGUAAGCCACUAACAAUGGAGAAAAAGAAAAUAAAUAAAAAUGGAAAAACCCUUCCUUUCAUGCACAAGUUCUUUUCUACA